GUCAAUGUGGUGUAGUGGUUUGUGCAUUGGACUGCGACUCUGGGGACCAGGGUUCAAAUCCCUGGGGGACC